UGCUGUCCCAUGUAGGCCAUCACCCCUGAC
rnacentral:piRNA from 1 species